rnacentral:rRNA from 1 species
UGACAAAGUUUAACGGCCGCGGUACCCUAACCGUGCGAAGGUAGCAUAAUCACUUGUUCUUUAAAUAGGGACUCGUAUCAACGGCAUCACGAGGGCUAUACUGUCUCCUUUCUCCAAUCAGUGAAACUGAUCUUCCCGUGAAGAAGCGGGAAUUAUUAUAUAAGACGAGAAGACCCCAUGGAGCUUUAAACUCAAUAUAUAUUUCUACGCACUUAUAUCACUAUUAGCCUAAGAAAACUAUGUAUUAGUUUUGGGUUGGGGGGACCGCGGAGAAAAAAUUAACCUCCACGACAAAUAGGCCAACGCCUUUAUCUAUGAACCACAAUUCUAAGAAUCAAUAAACUGAUGUUUAAUGAUCCAAUUUUUUGAUCAACGAACCAAGUUACCCUGGGGAUAACAGCGCAAUCUACUUCAAGAGCUCCUAUCGACAAGUGGGUUUACGACCUCGAUGUUGGAUCAGGGUAUCCUAGUGGUGCAGCCGCUACUAAAGGUUCGUUUGUUCAACGAUUAAAACCCUACGUGAUCUGAG